UACGAAGGGUGCUAGCGUUGUUCGGAAUCAUUGGGCGUAAAGCGUGCGUAGGCGGUUUGGUAAGUCGACUGUGAAAGCCCAGAGCUUAACUUUGGAAUUGCAGUCGAAACUACUUAACUAGAGUAUGGCGGGGGAUAGUGGAAUUCUUAGUGUAGGGGUGAAAUCCGUAGAUAUUAAGAGGAACACCAGUGGCGAAGGCGACUAUCUACACCAUUACUGACGCUGAGGCACGAAAGCGUGGGGAGCAAACAGG
rnacentral:rRNA from 1 species